rnacentral:rRNA from 1 species
UAUACAUGACUCUGCGCAUAUCAAUAAGCGGAGGAAAAGAAACUAACAAGGAUUCCCCUAGUAACGGCGAGUGAAGCGGGAAGAGCUCAAAUUUGAAAUCUUAAAGGGUUUCCCUUUACGAAUUGUAGUUUAAAGAAGUGUUUUCUGUUGAGGUUUUGGUAAAAGUUCUUUGGAAUAGGACAUCAUAGAGGGUGAGAAUCCCGUAUUUGACCUUUACUUUCAACUUUGUGAUACACUUUCAAAGAGUCGGAUUGUUUGGGAAUGCAGUCCAAAAUGGGUGGUAAAUUUCAUCUAAAGCUAAAUAUUGGCGAGGAGACCGAUAGCGAACAAGUACCGUGAGGGAAAGAUGAAAAGAACUUUGAAAAGAGAGUUAAACAGUACGUGAAAUUGUCAAAAGGGAAGCGUUUGACACCAGUGUUGUUUUUCUGAAAAUCAAUUAAAGAACUGUUUAUGCUAAGCUGUUUAGACUUUAUCAGCUAUCUGUUUAGUUUUGAGCUUUUCUUUAAUGCACUUUUCAGUUAACAAGUCAACAUCAAUUUCUUUUGCUGUAAAAAAGCUUGAGGAAGGUGGCUUGAGAUUCGUCUUAAGUGUUUAUAGCCUCUUGCCUAUGCAGUCGGAGAGAUUGAGGUCUGCAGCGUAGAUCCUUCGGGGCUAAAUGCAUUUGUGCUAAGUUAUAGCAUUUUAUAGACAACUUGUUGACUAUGAUUUGUCUUGUAGCUUACUCGCUUAUGUUAUUUUACCUACGCUUAGGAUGUUGAUCUACAGAGCGAGAGU